rnacentral:rRNA from 1 species
GAUGAACGCUAGCGGCAGGCCUAACACAUGCAAGUCGAGGGGUAACAGAAAAGCUUGCUUUUGCUGACGACCGGCGCACGGGUGCGUAACGCGUAUGCAACCUACCUCAUACUGGAGGAUAGCCCCUGGAAACGGGGAUUAAUACUCCAUAGUAUCACAAUUUCGCAUGUUAUUGUGAUUAAAGUUUUUCGGUAUGAGAUGGGCAUGCGUCCCAUUAGCUUGUUGGUGAGGUAACGGCUCACCAAGGCAACGAUGGGUAGGGGGCCUGAGAGGGUGGUCCCCCACACUGGUACUGAGACACGGACCAGACUCCUACGGGAGGCAGCAGUGAGGAAUAUUGGUCAAUGGAGGAAACUCUGAACCAGCCAUGCCGCGUGAAGGAUGACGGCCCUAUGGGUUGUAAACUUCUUUUAUAGAGGAAGAAACUUGUCUACGUGUAGACAACUGACGGUACUCUACGAAUAAGGAUCGGCUAACUCCG